rnacentral:rRNA from 1 species
CAGCAGCCGCGGUAAUACGUAGGGUGCGAGCGUUAAUCGGAUUUACUGGGCGUAAAGCGUGCGCAGGCGGCCCGUUAAGACAGGUGUGAAAUCCCUGGGCUCAACCUAGGAAUUGCGCUUGUGACUGGCGGGCUCGAGUACGGUAGAGGGGGGUGGAAUUCCUGGUGUAGCAGUGAAAUGCGUAGAGAUCAGGAGGAACACCGAUGGCGAAGGCAGCCCCCUGGGCCUGUACUGACGCUCAUGCACGAAAGCGUGGGGAGCAAACAGGAUUAGAUACCCUGGUAGUCCACGCCCUAAACGAUGGGUACUAGCCGUUUGGGGAGCGAUAGCGCUGAGUGGCGAAGCUAACGCGUGAAGUACCCCGCCUGGGGAGUACGGCCGCAAGGUUGAAACUUAAAGGAAUUGGCGGG